rnacentral:rRNA from 1 species
GCUCACGCCAGGGGAUGAGUCUGCGGCCCAUUAGUUAGUUGGUAGGGUAAUGGCCUACCAAGGUGAAGAUGGGUAGCUGGUCUGAGAGGAUGAUCAGCUACAUUGGAAUUGAGAUAUGGUUUAGACUCCUAUGGGAGGUAGUAGUGGGGAAUCUUGCGUAAUGGGCGAAAGCCUGAUGUAGCGAUGCCGCGUGGGUGAUGAAGGCCUUUGGGUUGUAAAGCCCUGUGGGGAGGGAAGAAUAAGCGGCGGUUAAUAUCCGACGUGAUGAUGGUACCUCCUUAGUAAGCACCGGUUAAUUCUGUGUUAGUAGUUGUGGUAAGACAGAGGGUGCGAACGUUGUUCGGAAUUACUGGGCGUAAAGUGCGUGUAGGCGGUCUUGUAAGUCGGGCGUGAAAUCCUUGGGUUUAACCGAGGAAGUGCGUUCGAAACUGCAAGAUUGGAGUUCCGGAGAGGAUGGUGGAAUUCUCGGUUUAGAGGUGAAAUUUGUAGAUAUCGAGAGGAACACCGGUGGCGAAGGUGGCCAUUUGGAUGGAUAUUGACGCUGAGACGCGAAAGCGUGGGUAGUAAAUAGGAUUGGAUAUCCUGGUAGUCCACGCUGUAAAUGAUGGGUGCUAGGUGUCGCGGGUUUUGAUUCCUGCGGUGCCGUAGUAAAUGUAUUAAGCACCCCGCCUGGGGAGUAUGGCCGUAAGGCUAAAACUCAAAGGAAUUGACGGGGGCCCGCACAAGCGGUGGAGCAUGUGGUUUAAUUCGAUUCGAUGCGAAGAACCUUACCUGGGUUAGAAAACAUGAGAAUCCUGCGGAAACGUGGGAGUGCCCUUUGGGUGAACUCAUGGUUAGGUGCUGUAUGGCUGUCGUCAGCUCGUGUUGUGAGAUGUUGGGUUAAGUCCCGCAACGAGUGUAACCCUUGUCGUUAGUUGCUAGUGAGUGAGGUUGGGCAUUUUAACGAGAUUGCCGAUAUUUAAAUCGGAGGAAGGUGGGGAUGACGUCAAGUCAUUAUGGCCCUUAUGUCCAGGGUUAUAUACGUGCUACAAUGGCUGGUAUAAAGGGUUGUAAGCUAGUGAUAGCAAGUUAAUCCUAAAAAACCAGCCUCAGUACAGAUAGGAGUCUGUGAUUUGACUCCUUGAAGUCGGAAUCGCUAGUAAUCGCUGAUUAGUAGGCAGCGGUGAAUAUGUUUUCGGGCCUUGUAUAUAUUGCCCGUCACACCAUGGAAGUUGUUUGCUCCAGAAGUGGCUGAGUUAAUCCGUAAGGGAUGUAGGUCCUUAAGGAGUGAAUGAUGACUGGGGUGAAGUUGAAAUAAGGUA